rnacentral:tRNA from 1 species
GCAAAAUGUAGCUUAUAAAGAGCGUUGGUCUUGUAAAUCAAAGGUUGAAUAUAUUAUUUAUUUCUUUUGCU